rnacentral:rRNA from 1 species
GAUGAACGCUGGCGGCGUGCCUAAUACAUGCAAGUCGAGCGAACAGACGAGGAGCUUGCUCCUCUGAUGUUAGCGGCGGACGGGUGAGUAACACGUGGAUAACCUACCUAUAAGACUGGGAUAACUUCGGGAAACCGGAGCUAAUACCGGAUAACAUGUUGAACCGCAUGGUUCAACAGUGAAAGACGGUCUUGCUGUCACUUAUAGAUGGAUCCGCGCCGCAUUAGCUAGUUGGUAAGGUAACGGCUUACCAAGGCAACGAUGCGUAGCCGACCUGAGAGGGUGAUCGGCCACACUGGAACUGAGACACGGUCCAGACUCCUACGGGAGGCAGCAGUAGGGAAUCUUCCGCAAUGGGCGAAAGCCUGACGGAGCAACGCCGCGUGAGUGAAGAAGGUCUUCGGAUCGUAAAACUCUGUUAUUAGGGAAGAACAAAUGUGUAAGUAGCUAUGCACGUCUUGACGGUACCUAAUCAGAAAGCCACGGCUAACUACGUG